GGUCGGAAGUUCAAGUCUUCCCAGGCCCACCACACUCAUCGAGUGAGCAUUCGUCUUCUGGUUACGGGGCCAUAGCUCAGCUGGGAGAGCGCGUGCUUUGCAAGCAUGAGGUCGUCGGUUCGAUCCCGUCUGGCUCCACCAGAUGGUUUGAUCAUCGACUGAUCGUGCAACUUAAUCGUCCGCGAAACAUCACUUCGCAUCUUGCUAGUCUGGAUAGACAGCAAGUUGCGUGAUUUCUGACAUCGUAAAGAGGAGAUCGAUCCGAGUUGGGUCGUGCAGCAAGCAAUUGCUACGCGACACUUCAUUAUCUCCGGAUCAUUUCGGCGCUCGUGCGCCUUUCAAGGUGGCCCUCGUGGCUGCUUCGAAAGGCAAGCGAGUUGUAAAUGAUCCUUUUAGCGAAGCUUGACCGCCUCGCUAUCGGAACGAUCUUACGAAGCAAGCUGGUCUUUCUAAUCAUUGUCCGGCUGUGAGAAUAGCGCUCGUCGAGGGCGCGCGCCGCAAGGCAGUUCUUACAGACAACAUUCUGCCGAGUGUGUGGACAUUGAUAAUGAGAGC
rnacentral:tRNA from 2 species